rnacentral:rRNA from 1 species
AUUGAACGCUGGCGGCAGGCCUAACACAUGCAAGUCGAACGAGUGGCGGACGGGUGAGUAAUGUCUGGGAAACUGCCUGAUGGAUGGGGAUAACUACUGGAAACGGUAGCUAAUACCGCAUACCAUAAGAUGUGCCCAGAUGGGCUUAGCUUGUUGGUGGGGUAACGGCUCACCAAGGCGAAGAUCCCUAGCUGGUCUGAGAGGAUGACCGUCCACACUGGAUCUGAGACCCGGUCCACACUCCUACGUGAGGCAGCAGUGGAGAAUGUUGCACAAUAGGCGCAAGCCUGAUACAGCCAUGCCGCGUGUAUGAAGAAGGCCUUCGGGUUGUAAAGUACUUUCAGCGAGGAGGCGUUACCCGAAGAAGAAGCACCGGCUAACUCCGUGCCAGCCGCCGCGGUAAUUC